rnacentral:lncRNA from 1 species
GCAAAGCAGAGAGGAGUGCAGAGGCAGAAGAAAGAGGAGAGAGGAUACAGAAAAGAAAGAGCAGUAGAAGAGGAGUGCAGAUGCAGAAUAAAGAGCAUUGAGGAGACAGAACAUGAAGAGCAACAGAGGAGUUUAGACGCAGAAUGAUGAGGAGUGAAUAAGGAGGGGAAAAAGGGAGAGAAGAGUAUGGGAAAAAAAGUCUAGUAGAGGAGAGGAAGACAGCAGACAGGAGAAGUUAGAAAAGAUAGAAGAGAGAAGGGAGGGAGGGGGCAUCAAGGAAAGGUUUCCAAAGGUAAAAAAAAAAAAAAAAAAAAAAAAGAGAGAUGAAGAAGAUGGGAGUUCAACAGAAGAACUGAAGAUGUAAGAAGUGGGGAGGCGUGUGCAGAGAGCAGGAGAGCAGAGAGAGAAGGUGAGAGCAAAUUCCGUCACUGAGAGAAGAAGAAAAAGGAACGUCAAUAAUUUUCGUCUCUAUUAAAGCUGGGUUCUGUGCAGGACAUACAGGUGUUGUUGUUCUUUUUCUUU